ensembl:misc_RNA
UUGCCCAUCGGGGCUGCGGAUACCGGGUUUCAUUAUU